rnacentral:rRNA from 1 species
UCCGGAUUUAUUGGGCGUAAAGCGAGCGCAGGCGGUUAGAUAAGUCUGAAGUUAAAGGCUGUGGNUUAACCAUAGUACGCUUUGGAAACUGUUUAACUUGAGUGCAGAAGGGGAGAGUGGAAUUCCAUGUGUAGCGGNGAAAUGCGUAGAUAUAUGGAGGAACACCGGUGGCGAAAGCGGCUNUCUGGUCUGUAACUGACGCUGAGGCUNGAAAGCGUGGGGAGCGAACAGGAUUAGAUACCCUGGUAGUNCACGCCGUAAACGAUGAGUGCUAGGUGUUAGGCCCUUUCCGGGGCUUAGUGCCGCAGCUAACGCAUUAAGCACUCCGCCUGGGGAGUACGACCGCAAGGUUGAAACUCAAAGGAAUUGACGGGGGCCCGCACAAGCGGUGGAGCAUGUGGUUUAAUUCGAAGCAACGCGAAGAACCUUACCAGGUCUUGACAUCCCGAUGCCCACUCUAGAGAUAGAGUUUUACUUCGGUACAUCGGUGACAGGUGGUGCAUGGUUGUCGUCAGCUCGUGUCGUGAGAUGUUGGGUUAAGUCCCGCAACGAGCGCAACCCUUAUUGUUAGUUGCCAUCAUUCAGUUGGGCACUCUAGCGAGACUGCCGGUAAUAAACCGGAGGAAGGUGGGGAUGACGUCAAAUCAUCAUGCCCCUUAUGACCUGGGCUACACACGUGCUACAAUGGCUGGUACAACGAGUCGCAAGUCGGUGACGGCAAGCUAAUCUCUUAAAGCCAGUCUCAGUUCGGAUUGUAGGCUGCAACUCGCCUACAUGAAGUCGGAAUCGCUAGUAAUCGCGGAUCAGCACGCCGCGGUGAAUACGUUCCCGGGCCUUGUACACACCGCCCGUCACACCACGAGAGUUUGUAACACCCGAAGUCGGUGAGGUAACCUUUUAGGAGCCANCCG